UCUUAGGGUUUAGAUUUGAAGGUUUAGGGUUUUAGGGUUUAGGGUUCGAAUUUCAGAAAAAUAUAAGGUUUAGGGUUUACGUUUAGGGUUUAGAAUUGAUGUUUUAGGGUUUUGAUUUGAAGGUUUAGGGUUUAGGGUUUAUAGUUGAUGUUUCGGGGUUUAGGGUUUAGAGUUGAUGUUUCGAGCAACACUAAACCCUAAACUAUCAACACUAAACCCUAAAACCUAAAAAGUAAACUCUAAACCCUAAACCCUAAAAAUUAACCCUAAACCCACUCUAAACCCUAAACCUUCAACUCUAAACCCUAAACCCUAAAACCCUAGAGUUGAUGUUUAGGGUUUAGAUUUGAAGGUUUAGGGUUUAGAGUUGAUGUUUCAUGGUUUAGAGUUUAGAGUUGAUGUUUCAUGGUUUAGAGUUUAGAGUUGAUGUUUCGAGGUUUCAUGGUUUAGGGUUUAGAGUUGAUGUUUCGGGGUUUAAGGUUGAUGUUUCAUGGGUUUAGAUUUGAUGUUUUAAGUUUAAAUUAGUUAACCAUAUGUUUUUUUUGUCAAUGGUAAUCAAAAGGUUAUAAAUGUCUUUUACCCUUCAUUAAAGAUGAUGGUAAAAAUGGUUAGUGUAAACAUGAAAAUUAGUACUUUGAAAAUGUUAUUUUUGGCAAUUUCCUAGAGAAAAAUAAAAUGUUUCAUUUAAAUUUGACGAGAAAUGAA
rnacentral:lncRNA from 1 species